UACGUAGGGGGCAAGCGUUGUCCGGAUUUAUUGGGCGUAAAGAGCGUGUAGGCGGCCAGGUAGGUCCGUUGUGAAAACUCGAGGCUCAACCUCGAGACGCCGAUGGAAACCAUCUGGCUAGAGUCCGGAAGAGGAGAGUGGAAUUCCCGGUGUAGCGGUGAAAUGCGCAGAUAUCAGGAAGAACACCUAUGGCGAAGGCAGCUCUCUGGGACGGUACUGACGCUGAGACGCGAAAGCGUGGGGAGCAAACAGG
rnacentral:rRNA from 1 species